AUUGAACGCUGGCGGCAGGCCUAACACAUGCAAGUCGAGCGGAUGAAGGGAGCUUGCUCCUGGAUUCAGCGGCGGACGGGUGAGUAAUGCCUAGGAAUCUGCCUGGUAGUGGGGGAUAACGUCCGGAAACGGGCGCUAAUACCGCAUACGUCCUGAGGGAGAAAGUGGGGGAUCUUCGGACCUCACGCUAUCAGAUGAGCCUAGGUCGGAUUAGCUAGUUGGUGGGGUAAAGGCCUACCAAGGCGACGAUCCGUAACUGGUCUGAGAGGAUGAUCAGUCACACUGAAACUGAGACACGGUCCAGACUCCUACGGGAGGCAGCAGUGGGGAAUAUUGGACAAUGGGCGAAAGCCUGAUCCAGCCAUGCCGCGUGUGUGAAGAGGGUCUUCGGAUUGUAAAGCACUUUAAGUUGGGAGGAAGGGCAGUAAGUUAAUACCUUGCUGUUUUGACGUUACCAACAGAAUAAGCACCGGCUAACUUCGUG
rnacentral:rRNA from 1 species